rnacentral:rRNA from 1 species
GGCGUAGGUGGGAAUGUAAGCCAGAUGUGAAAUCCCGGGGCUCAACCCCGGAACUGCAUUUGGAACUACAUUUCUUGAGGGUAGACGGAGAAAACGGAAUUCCACAUGUAGCGGUGAAAUGCGUAGAUAUGUGGAAGAACACCGGUGGCGAAGGCGGUUUUCUAGUUUAUUCCUGACACUGAGGCCCGAAAGCUAGGGGAGCGAACAGGAUUAGAUACCCUGGUAGUCC